rnacentral:tRNA from 1 species
GGGGGUGUAGCUCAGUGGCAGAGCACUUGUCUAGUAUGUGAGAGGCCCUGGGUUAGAUUGCCAGCACCUCAA